rnacentral:rRNA from 1 species
AUGCAGUCCAGCUCCAAGGCGGCCGGCGGUAAUGGCGACGGGAAGCACUUGGUUUGCGUGACGGGGGCGGGGAGCUUCAUCGGCUCGUGGGUGGUGAAGGAGCUCCUCCUCCGUGGCUACCGCGUCAGGGGAACCGCCAGGGAUCCCGCUGACCGCAAGAACGCGCAUUUGCUGGCGCUGGAUGGCGCCAAGGAGAGGCUCACCCUGUGCCGUGCCAAUGUGCUCCACUAUGACGGCCUCCACGACGUGUUCCGGGGAUGUCACGGCGUCUUCCACGUCGCCUCCCCGGUCUCCAACGAUCCUGAGCUCGUGCCGACGGCCGUGGAGGGAACGAGGAACGUGAUCAACGCCGCGGCAGACGCGGGUGUGCGGCGCGUGGUGUUCACUUCCUCCUAUGGCGCCGUGCACAUGGACCCCAACCGGAGCCCCGACACCGUCCUCGACGAGUCGUGCUGGAGCGACUAUGACUACUGCAAACAAACCGGCAACCUGUACUGCUGCGCCAAGAUGAUGGCGGAGGUCGCGGCGACGGAGGAGGCGGCUAAGAGGGGACUGGAGCUGGCCGUGGUUGUGCCCGCCGUGACGAUCGGUCCCUCCCUACAGCAGACACUCAACUAUAGCACCGACCACGUCGCCCGCUUCCUCAUGGGCACCAAGCCGGCCUACCAGAACACCGUCACCGGCUACAUUGAUGUCCGGGACGUCGCUCGCGCGCACGCUCUCGUCUACGAGCACCCCGACGCCCGCGGCCAUCGCUACCUCUGCGUCAGCGCCGUGCUGCACCGCAUCGACUUCGUCGGACUCCUCAGGGACCUCUACCCGCAGUACCCCGUCACGGCCAAGUAUGAAGACAACGGUAAGCCGACAGUGAGUCCGUACAGGUUUUCGAACCAAAGGCUCAGGGACUUGGGGCUGGAGUUCACUAACAUGAGGACAAGCUUCUACGACACUGUGAUAUGCCUGCAGAGCAGGGGUCAUAUCCCCGUCAUCGUGCCACGUCAGCGUGCAUGCUUGUAA